rnacentral:tRNA from 1 species
AAUCUAUAAAAAUUGUUUUGAAAACAAUUAAUAGUUGAAAUUUCAACUAUAGAUUU